AUACAAAAAAGAAUUUGGAAAAAAGUUUCAACACUGCAAAGUGAAAAAGUUCAGUGCCUUACCUUCAACACGAGCGACUGGAACUGAAGCAACUAUUGAGGUUGUGUUCAAUAGGAGUACUCCUAUAGCAGAUCUCCCACAGAAUAAUGUUGUUGCUGAAAUCUUAAAAAAAGCUGUGACUAAUACCAACAAUACGUUCAAUGUGAGCAUAAAUCCGGACUCAGUCAAAAUACUAGAAGGUCCAGUUCCAGGUACAACCACCGGAC